GAAAGAGGUGUGUGGAGAACAAUGCCUAAAGAUUGUAAUUCCACCCCUCAUGCAUGUCUACGAUAAUAACAUCUCCAAGAUAUUACAAUCUAACAUAAUCUGAUCCUCCCUAAUGAGCAUGAUCGCUUAGGGGGCUACAUCUGAUUAGCUCCUUAAACCGCCCACAUGAAAGAUUGCAGAAAAAUAAUUGUGAAUAAAUGGAAAAGAAUGGGAAGAACUCAGAGAUUCGAGAUGGGUUGGAUGUCAUGUGCUGUAUUUGUUAGAUGUGUGCCCUAGAUGCC
rnacentral:lncRNA from 1 species